UACGGAGGGGGCUAGCGUUGUUCGGAAUUACUGGGCGUAAAGCGCACGUAGGCGGCUUUGUAAGUUAGAGGUGAAAGCCCGGGGCUCAACCCCGGAAUAGCCUUUAAGACUGCAUCGCUUGAACACGGGAGAGGUGAGUGGAAUUCCGAGUGUAGAGGUGAAAUUCGUAGAUAUUCGGAAGAACCCCAGUGGCGAGGGCGGCUCCCUGGACCGUUGUUGACGCUGAGGUGCGAAAGCGUGGGGGCAAACAGG
rnacentral:rRNA from 1 species